rnacentral:rRNA from 1 species
GACAUCCUCUGACAAUCCUAGAGAUAGGACGUCCCCUUCGGGGGCAGAGUGACAGGUGGUGCAUGGUUGUCGUCAGCUCGUGUCGUGAGAUGUUGGGUUAAGUCCCGCAACGAGCGCAACCCUUGAUCUUAGUUGCCAGCAUUCAGUUGGGCACUCUAAGGUGACUGCCGGUGACAAACCGGAGGAAGGUGGGGAUGACGUCAAAUCAUCAUGCCCCUUAUGACCUGGGCUACACACGUGCUACAAUGGACAGAACAAAGGGCAGCGAAACCGCGAGGUUAAGCCAAUCCCACAAAUCUGUUCUCAGUUCGGAUCGCAGUCUGCAACUCGACUGCGUGAAGCUGGAAUCGCUAGUAAUCGCGGAUCAGCAUGCCGCGGUGAAUACGUUCCCGGGCCUUGUACACACCGCCCGUCACACCACGAGAGUUUGUAACACCCGAAGUCGGUGAGGUAACCUUUUU